UACGAGGGGGGGCAAGCGUUUGUUCGGAAUUAUUGGGCGUAAAGGGCGCGUAGGCGGUGUCGCAAGUCCGUGGUGAAAUCUCUAGGCUCAACUUAGAGACUGCCGCGGAAACUGCGGUGCUUGAGUGUGGGAGAGGUGCGUGGAAUUCCCGGUGUAGCGGUGAAAUGCGUAGAUAUCAGGAGGAACACCGAUGGCGAAGGCAGGUCUCUGGGCAUUAACUGACGCUGAGGAGCGAAAGCAUGGGGGAGCGAACAGG
rnacentral:rRNA from 1 species